CCCUUAGAUGUUCUGGGCCGCACACGCGCUACACUGAAGGAGGCAGCGUGUACUCCUGGAUCGAAAGAUUUGGGUAACCCGCGAAUCUCCUUCGUGCUAGGGAUUGAGGUUUGCAAUUAUCCUUCAUGAACGAGGAAUUCCCAGUAAGUGCAAGUCAUAAGCUUGCGCUGACUACGUCCCUGCCCUUUGUACACACCGCUCGUCGCUACUACCGAUUGAAUGAUUUAGUGAGGACUUCGGACUGGGACCGAUGCGGCUUUCGGGCUGCGUCGGUAUUCUGGAAAGAUGUCCAAACUGUAUCAUUUAGAGGAAGUAAAAGUCGUAACA
rnacentral:rRNA from 1 species